UUCAACGGUUAAAAUCUGAUUGAUGGGCCAUUUUCUUAUGGGCUCAACAUCAAAUGAAGAUGUAUAACCUGCUUUGAACAUUUGAAUAGCAGUAUAGCCUAUCAUGGCAGCAUUAUCACUGCAUAUAUCUGGACUUGGGUACACCAAUUUGAUGUCUGUAGGUUGAUGUUCAAACUGCAAUACCAUUAAAGUAUCAUUCAGCAUCUUUUUCAACAAUUCGUUUCUAGCGACACCACCACUGCAUACAAGGUACUUAACUUUCGAUAAAUCCAGUCGUUUCAACGCUAGCAACGUUUUUUGACAUAUAUGUUGAAAAGCAGCAUAUUGAAGUUGAUAGGCAAAAAACUUUUUUUCACUUAGAUUUAAAGGCGUCUUCCUUAUUAUUCGACAGGCGUACGACUCCAAGCCUGAAAAAGAGAAGCUCGCGCUAUGCACCUUUUCUCUAGUAUUCAGUGGGAUUGGCGGUUUUAAUGAAUAACUAGUACUAUUUAUUUCAGGAGAAGCAAACUGUUCAAGAGCAGCAGCAGGCAUUUCAUUGUCCCAAGGAAUACCCAAAUACUUUGCACAUUUGUCCAGAUAAUCGCCUACAGCAAUAUCACUGGUUGUGACAAUAAUCUCGUGAUUUAACAGAGAAUUGGAAUACACUAGCAUAGUGUGUCCACCUGAGACAAGAAUAUUAAGAUAUGGGAAAUCAAUAGACUUUUCUAGUUGCACUGCAAGGGCAUGUGCUUGCUACAAACUCUUCAUUAACAAUCUUACAAGCUCAACUUAGGAAUUCGUUACUUACCAUGUGAUGAACCGCAAGUAAAGGUUUUUGAAGGCCAACCGCGAGGCCUUUGGCUGUAUUUAAACCCACAGCAAGGGGACCAAUCAUUCCUGGGCCUCUUGUGACAGCAAUAAGGUCAAAAUCAGUAAUACCACUACGCGCGGCAUCUGAGAUAGUCCUUUGGAUUACUUUCGCUAAAUUCUUUUGAUGCUCAUGAAUAACUAUGGUAGGAUGGAUACCACCAUAAGCCUCGUAUUUUGAAAUUGUCCGGUGUGUAUUUAAGCAAAUGAUCUCGUUUUGGCAAUGUGAUGAUGAAUCUGAGGUUCGAACGCUAUAAUAAAUUAGUGAGGAUAUGUGAAAUAUACGUACACAGAAACCGAUGUAUCAUCACAAGACGUCUCGAUAGCUAAGGCUGUAAGUGUUCGAUAGGAUAGAAAAGUUUUAGAGAUGUUCCAACAGCGAAACUGUUGUAAAACUUUUAAAGAAAUUCGACGUUGCUUGCACAAAAUAGAAUUAUAUACCAGACAAAGCAUUUAUAUAACUUCACUUCAAAUUUGAGAUAUGUCUGUUGGCCAGAAAAGGAAAGUGUAUAAUAUUUAAAAAAAUAACAAAUUG